rnacentral:rRNA from 1 species
CCUACGGGUGGCAGCAGUAGGGAAUCUUUCACAAUGGGCGAAAGCCUGAUGGAGCAACGCCGCGUGCAGGAUGAAGGCCUUCGGGUUGUAAACUGCUUUUAUAAGCGAGAAAUAUGAUGGUAACUUAUGAAUAAGGAGCGGCUAACUACGUGCCAGCAGCCGCGGUCAUACGUAGGAGCCGAGCAUUAUCCGGAGUGACUGGGUGUAAAGAGUUGCGUAGGUGGCAUAAUAAGUAGCUAGUGAAAUCUGGUGGCUCAACCAUUCAGACUAUUAGCUAAACUGUUAAGCUCGAGACCGUUAGAGGUAACUGGAAUUUCUAGUGUAGGAGUGAAAUCCGUAGAUAUUAGAAGGAACACCAAUAGCGUAGGCAGGUUGCUGGGACGGUUCUGACACUGAGGCACGAAAGCGUAGGGAGCAAACGGGAUUAGAUACCCCUGUAGUC